GACGAACGCUGGCGGCGUGCCUAAUACAUGCAAGUCGAGCGGACGAAUCGAAAGCUUGCUUUUGAUUCGUUAGCGGCGGACGGGUGAGUAACACGUGGGCAACCUGCCCUGUAGACGGGGAUAACACCGAGAAAUCGGUGCUAAUACCGGAUAACACGAAAUGUCGCAUGACGUUUCGUUGAAAGACGGCGCAAGCUGUCGCUACAGGAUGGGCCCGCGGCGCAUUAGCUAGUUGGUGAGGUAACGGCUCACCAAGGCGACGAUGCGUAGCCGACCUGAGAGGGUGAUCGGCCACACUGGGACUGAGACACGGCCCAGACUCCUACGGGAGGCAGCAGUAGGGAAUCUUCCGCAAUGGACGAAAGUCUGACGGAGCAACGCCGCGUGAGCGAAGAAGGCCUUCGGGUCGUAAAGCUCUGUUGUUAGGGAAGAACAAGUAACGCAGUAACUGGCGUUACCGUGACGGUACCUAACGAGAAAGCCACGGCUAACUACGUGCCAGCAGCCGCGGUAAUACGUAGGUGGCAAGCGUUGUCCGGAAUUAUUGGGCGUAAAGCGCGCGCAGGCGGUUCCUUAAGUCUGAUGUGAAAGCCCACGGCUCAACCGUGGAGGGUCAUUGGAAACUGGGGGACUUGAGUGCAGAAGAGGAGAGCGAAAUUCCACGUGUAGCGGUGAAAUGCGUAGAGAUGUGAAGGAACACCGGUGGCGAAGGCGGCUCUCUGGUCUGUAACUGACCUGAGGCGCGAAGCGUGGGGGAGCAAACAGGAUAAAUACCCUGGUAGUCCAAGGCGAAUUCCACAUUGGGCUGCAGCCCGGGGAUCCACUAGUUCUAGAGCGCCGCACCGCGGAGCUCAAUUCGCCCUAUAGUGAGUCGUAUACGCGCGCUCACUGGCGUCGUUUACACCUU
rnacentral:rRNA from 1 species